UCACCACUGACUCUGGAGUGCUCAGCUGGAUCAACGGCGUGCUGGAUGCUGAUCCUGGGUACUUGUGUCUGCAUCGUCAUAAGAUGCAGGCCAACUGGCAUCAGUACAUGGAAUGUACGAGUAUGCGAGCUGAAAAACUAAGGAAUAUAGGCUAGAAAGAGAUCUGGAAUAAACUGGAAAACUCAACUCAACCUGACUGACUUCUUUCAAUAUAAGGUAAUUUAAAACAAGUGCGAUAUAAAGAAAGACUAUUUAAAACCUGCUAUAAACUCUGUAUGUAUACAAAGAUACAAUAAGUCUGAGAUGUAUAUAGAAAUACAAAUGAACUGAUGUAUAUAAAAAUACAAUAAUCUCCGUGUAUGAAAAUACAAUAACUUUUGUGGGAAUUUCUCUAACUGACAACCAUCACAUAGAGCUAUAGUAAUGAUACAGCGAUCGACCUCACGCUGCCAGAGCAUCCUAUACCCGGCCAAAGGUAUAAGACCUGAACUGCCUAAUGGAUCCACUAGUCUAUCUGGAAAAGGAUUCAUCCAAAAAGUAUGAUCCUUUUCUACCAAUGGUGGCUAACAUGGUUCUAUGGGGGUCGUGGGUUCCUUGAACGCUCCCCCAACUCAGUGCUCGAUACUACUCCUAAAAUAUACUGGCUCUUAUGUUUAAAAAAACAUACUUCUUCCUUCUGAUUUGAGAUAAUUACUCAAAAACUUAACUCAAAGGCUAUCUUGGAAAUCUCAGUUUCCUCUCUUGCUUCAUUUAGAAAGCGAAAACUCUUUUUCUGGAAAACUAGCCCGAAGGCUCUGUGGAAAUCUCAGUUUCCAAUCUUGUUUAAAUGUGAAAACAUUUCUCUAAAACUUCUUUGGGAAUACAUAGUUCCCUAAUAACUUUUGAGAAAUGAACUCAACUUUAUACUUUUUGCUUGACUUGAAACUCUUUGCUUAACUUGAAACUCGAGCCUCAAAAUGAAGCUAAAACAUUCAAUAAAGACUCUUGAACAACUUUAAAGACUUGCUUGGACUUACUUCAUAACUUCUAAGAUUGACUCUAACAUCACUUGACUUUGAUCCAAACUUUCCUCGAAUUGGAUUAUGAAUUCAAGGGUAAUGAUCUCAUGUUUAUGGAUGAGUUGGGGAGGUUUAAAUGUACCUUAGAGUGUUGAAAACAAGUAUAAAACAUAGGUACAUUACCAAGGAACAUGUAUGAAAAAUUGGGGAAGAAAUGGGAAAACUUAGCGUCCUUGGCGCUCUGAAAAGCGCGGGGCGCCAGACCAAAAAUUCAGAAGGCCUGGUUGGGGCUCUGCUAGGGGCGCCGCCCCAAGGGCUGGACCUCAGAAUCCCUUUUGGGGCGCGCUGGCUGGCGCGACGCCCCAGCCCUUUUCCCCGAAAAUUUGACUUUUCUCCUUCUUUUUUUCCAACUCUAAACCUCCUUAACUUCCAUGGUUCCAGCCCCAAACAAUUAAUAUCAUAAAACCCCUCAACAUACAAUAGAUUCAACUCAAAAUACAACCGGAAACAUGUACCAAACCAACAAGAACUUCAACAACAAUCACAACCAACAACUUCAACAACUACAACCAACAACUUCAACAAACAUAAUCAAUCUUGUCUCGGAAUUAAAACGAGUUUGGCGUGUGGGGGAAAGAACCAACCUCCAACACUAUGAACUCACAUACCUAGUAGGGAUCACCCCCGACGAUAUCCACGACGAUCUUUGACGAAACCUUGCUUGAUCUUCUCUUUCUCCUCUUCUUCUCCUCUUCACUCUCAAACCCUCACUCUCACUUUUUAAAAUAGGGAAGAACUGAUCAAAAAAUCAGUCUAACACCUAAAUAUAUCCAAAACAAUUGAUUAGAAAAAAGACCAAAAUACCCUUACAAUUUUCGAACGAAUUUGCCUGCCAACUGCCCAACUUCCAAAGGGUAUAACUCACUCAUACGAACUCGAAAUCGAGCAAAUUCGGUGGCGUUGGAAAGAACAUUCCACAAAAUUUGCAAACAUAGCUGGAACUACACCUAACUCAUCCUGAGUUAGGAGUUAUGACUGCUCAAAGAUGACCCAAAAACUCACUUUUUCCCAUACUUAACCAAAUUUUCCAGAUUUUUAAUUCUUUCCAAAAAUAACUAUUUCCAAUUCUAAGCCUCUUCAUAGUUAUUUCAAAUUGCCGGAUGUUUCAGCUUAAAUCAAAAUUGAAUUAAUACUAAUGCAAAAAGAAAAUCAAUUCAACACUAAGAAUGACAAUAAUAUUGAAUAUUUGUUCUUUAGUUUUACAAAGGUUUAGACAAUUAAAAUACAUAAUCUAAUUUUGAUUCUUUUAACACUUAGUCAUGUAACUAAUACUUAUUAAACAUAUUUUAGCAUGAUUUAGUACUUUUAUAUUAUGAUCAUUUUCAUUAUUACUUAUUAAUUUGCAAUAUUUGUUUUACGCGAUUUCAUUAUUAUAUUUUUAUUGGAUAUUUUAGUGUCAUUAAUCAAAUCAUAUUUUAUGUUAUUUUCUUAAGAAACACCUUAAAUAGUUGUAUUUUGGUAGAACUAAAGAAAUAUUUGAAUUACAAGUAAAUUAUAUGUUUGUAUGAAUAUUUUACCAGAAAAAUCCGAAAAAACCCAAAAAUCCGAAAAAAACCCGAGUUUUCUUUGUUUGGUUUGGUUUAUAAAUUCAAAAAUCCAACACAAAUGAUUUGGUUUAAUAUUUGAAAAAUCUGAACCAACCCGACCAUGUACACCACUAAUUUUAACAUACAAAAUACAUGAACUUAAACUAAAUUUCCAUCUUUUACAAUAUGGAGGCCUUGAAAACCGAUGAAGAGAUUUUUUCAUUGGCCAAUUUUAACAUAUAAAACAAUUUAAUAAAGCAAACGGUAUCUAAAAUUAGCCUCAAACAAAAUUAAUAAUAAUAAUAAUAAUAAUAACAAUAACAAUUACAACAAUAACAACACCACCAGUAACAAUAAUGACCAAACUAAUAUAAUAAUAAAACUAAUAAUAAACACAAACAGCAUCAUGCACACUUUUUAAACUAUAUGUGACAACAAUAACCAACAAAAAAAAUAACAUUGCAUAAUAAUAACAAGAAGAAAAAACAGUACCCAACUCUAGAACGAAAUAAUGAACAAAGUAAUAGAACCCAUCAACAUUUGCAAACAAUAAGUAGCUAAAAAGGAAAACAAAAAGCGAACAAGAACACAAAAUAAAUAUAAAGAAAACUAAAACCAAAACCAACCAGAAAUAACCCAAUAAUAAGAGAAACAAUAAGAGUUAGUAUGAAACUAAGAACAAAAUAGUGACAAAUAUAGAUUACCGGACUGGCCGCGACUAGGUCUGCUUGAGUUUUGAGCUCGUUGGUUUAUUCAACUGUUAUUGUUGUUGCUGUUCGCUGGAAGCUUGCUUGUUACUGCGUUACCGGAGAUGGAGCCACGCCGGACGACGGGAUACCUGCAAAAUAAAGGAAAAAACGUGAAAGGGGAGAGGGCAAAUGAGGUCUAGCGCGAUGGUUUGCUGAUUUGAACGGCUGUUUCGAUUGGGGUUUUGGUCUAUUGUUUGCGAUGGGUUUUGUAUGGAUUCCGGUGAGAUUUUUGAUGGGUCUGGUGGCUGUUCGGUGGAGCAAUGGUGUUGGAGCUGGGUUUGGGGUCCGUUUGAACUACUGGGUUUGGGAGGCAGUGAGGAAGAGGGAGGUCUGGUUGUUGUUUGGUUCUCCAGUGGAUCUGGUUCGCGAUGGUUUCGCCGGAUUGUUUCGACUUAGAGGUGGCUGAAAACGGAGAAGGAAAGUGGUUGGGUUGUUUGUGAGCUCGGAGUUCACCAUUAAUGGUGGAACUCGAGAAAGGAGGAAGGUUGUGGGUAGUGUGGUGGUUGGUUUCUGGUGUGGUCUUGAUC
rnacentral:lncRNA from 1 species